rnacentral:rRNA from 1 species
UACGUAGGGACCAAGCGUUGUUCGGAUUUACUGGGCGUAAAGGGCGCGUAGGCGGCUUGACAAGUCACUUGUGAAAUCUCCGGGCUUAACUCGGAACGGCCAAGUGAAACUGUCAUGCUAGAGUGCAGAAGGGGCAAUCGGAAUUCUUGGUGUAGCGGUGAAGUGCGUAGAUAUCAAGAGGAACACCUGAGGUGAAGACGGGUUGCUGGGCUGACACUGACGCUGAGGCGCGAAAGCCAGGGGAGCAAACGGG